CUCCCAUACCCCUGAAUUCUUUUGGUCUACACACUGUGGACCAAUUCAGUAGACUGAUAUCUAAUUUAUUUUUCUGUAAAUUAUUUCAGAGGAUUCUACAAUGAAGCUUAUCGUUUUUUCUGAUAACGUCACUAGGCAAAAUAAAAUUGGCUGCCCAGAAUCCCACGAUUGGAGUGAUGAUAGCAUUUAGCAAUGUUAUAUGGCCAGCAAUGGAAAGAAAUAGACCUUUUCAACCAGCAAGUUUCUUGAUAAUUUUUUUCAGUAACAGGGUCCACUCAUUUUUCUUGAGCUUGCGGAUAUGAAGAGGCAUACCCAGAUAUGUAAGAGGAAAGGAUGCUGAUUGACUACCCA
rnacentral:lncRNA from 1 species